AAGAAUCCAGGCUCUUCCUCAAAAGGCUGGAUGGCGAAGAGGAGGCAUGUGGGGAGGGCAACAUGGAUUGAGACAGAGUUGGGUUUGUUUGCUUUCACGUUUUGUUUUGUUUUUAGGAUGGAAGAGAUUCUGCAUGUUCCUAAUACCAGCAUAGGAACUAAGAAAACAGGAAAUAUUUGCUGAAUGAAUAAAAACUGAGAGAAAAGGGCCAGUAAAGAGGAGAGAAUGAAGAUGUAGGAAAGAGAGGAGACAUAGUACAGAGCAUGGCUACUAGGACGAACAAAAGCUGGAAGACACAGGACAGGAAUCAACAAAAGGUGCAUCA
rnacentral:lncRNA from 1 species